CAGCAGCCACGGUAAUACAGAGGAUGCAAGCGUUAUCCGGAAUGAUUGGGCGUAAAGGGCUCGCAGGCGGUUUCUUAAGUCUGAUGUGAAAGCCCCCGGCUCAACCGGGGAGGGUCAUUGGAAACUGGGAAACUUGAGUGCAGAAGAGGAGAGUGGAAUUCCACGUGUAGCGGUGAAAUGCGUAGAGAUGUGGAGGAACACCAGUGGCGAAGGCGACUCUCUGGUCUGUAACUGACGCUGAGGAGCGAAAGCGUGGGGAGCGAACAGGAUUAGAUACCCCUGUAGUCCCUGUCUCUUAUAC
rnacentral:rRNA from 1 species